UUGGGGAAAUAUCCUAGCGUGGAUAGAAGACUUUCUAUAUGACUGCAAGCAGUGUGUGGUGAUUAAUGGCACUAAAUCAUUAUCUGUACCUGUCACAAAAGGGGUACCACAGGGCAGUGCUAAUUACUUAUCAACUAUUGGUUUCCAAGGAAUGAUUUAGGCAUUUAUGUGUUAUUCUGAAAGUACUUAUUGUAUCUCCCUGUGAAUGGUGUUAGGCACAGUUUCAGUCAUUGAGAGAGCACAAAUACAAAAUAAAAGUCUCUGUGGCAGUGGUGCCUUAACAGCUUGCUUGCCAAUUUGUAUUCACUCUAGGUAUUUACAACCUCUUCCGCAGUCACUGAUGACACUAUCAACUGAUUUAACUAAAGGCACAGUACUACACUCCCUGGUUGACCUUUGGGUGGCUAAUCACAGCAGUGACCACAACUCCGUAAAAAAAAAAAAAUUGUUUCUUCUUAUGACAAAGGUUUUGUGGUUGUAGGCCUCUUGACCUGGGCUGUACCUCCAACUCAGUGGAGAUUGAGUUUUAAAAAAUACAAUCGCACCUAGCAUUAAAAAAUCCUGCUACGACUUGACAGUCCAGGAAAUAACCUCCUGAGCCGUCGGUAAGACAUUUAUUAAUAAUAUUAUUGUCAUAUAAAUAACGUUAAUAAUACCGAGUAGUGUUGGUAUAUUAUUAACCUGAGCUAAAGUGUAAUUAAUGGUUAAUUUAGUCUAUUGUGUUGGGUCGCCAGGCACAGGUAUCUUUUAUAUCAAAACUUAAUGAUAAGCUGCAGCCAUAUUUCACAUUAUAAGGUAGAGAUUCAUUUAUUUCAGUUGUCCAUCACAUUAUAAGGUAGAGUUUCAUUUAUUUCAGUUGUCCAUCACAUUAUAAGGUAGAGUUUCAUUUAUUUCAGUUGUCCAUCACAUUAUAAGGUAGAGUUUCAUUUAUUUCAGUUGUCCAUCACAUUAUAAGGUAGAGUUUCAUUUAUUUCAGUUGUCCAUCACAUUAUAAGGUAGAGAUUCAUUUAUUUCAGUUGUCCAUCACAUUAUAAGGUAGAGUUUAAUUGGUAAAUUAUUGCUUUCAGACAACAGGGGAUCUUAGGAGUUUAUCUUUGCGGUCAAUAGUUAGACAAGCCUAAGACGUCAUAAUUUUAUAAGACGUUUGUGAGGGAAACGUCGUAGAAGAGAAGCGUCUUAGGUUUGUCUAAAUUAUUGAUUGGAAAAAUAAAAUUCCUAAGAAUC